GUUAGAUGUCGCUGUAGAUUUAGCAGUACAUUACUGUAAAAAUCCACAGUACUAUACUGUAUGUAUACAUUACAGUACAGUACUGCAGUUCAUAAUGCAUUCUGGGUAAAUUUGUUUGAGCGGGAAAAUUUUACAGUAUAUUUUGGUCUUGAUGUAACCUUGCUGUAGCCAUUGCUGUAAUGUGCCAGGUGGACUUGCAAUAAUCAGAGAAAGUGCGCCAGAGUCAAAUCACACAGAGGGAGAGAGAGCACAACUCCUGGCUGCAGCUGAAGGAGGACGAUUGAUUUCUGGCAGUUCGUCUUACCAUUGCUUGUAAGCUGGAUUGGGUAAGAUGGAUCAUCUUUAAAGGCACCAGGCAAGUACAUGAUGUACAGUUACAAGUCAUGUAUUUUUUCGACUGCAAUAUUAAAUGCUUUCACGUCACAUGCAAAAUUACACAGGAAUGUGCUGAUCACUUUUUAUUUGUAGUUUACCUGAAUGUCAUUGCACUUUUUUCAGGAGUUAAGGCAGAUGUGGAGGCACAACGGGUGAUACCAGACACACACCAAGCACAUUAUGUUCGGACAUUCAAUCAUGACAUGAUCCAGGUGGAUGCUGUCCAUUGAGGAAAGAGUUUGUUCAGCGGUUUCUGGAUAGAAUUAAUUCCAAAGAUGGGAAAAAGUGCACAUCCAGACAAGGAGCAAGCAAAAAGACAAGGAACUUGGUGCAGAGAAAAGCUGUGGCCAUUAACCCCCAUGUGAACAGCUUCAUGCAGUCCCUGAUUGAGUUCGAAUGGACGACUUCAAAGUAAAGGCCACUGUGGUCUGUCUGCCACAGUUUAAUGCAUUUAUUUUUAGUGUUAAAUGAAAUUUAAGUAGAAUAUUUAAAACUAUGGGCCAGUGUUCUUUUUACCACAGUGAAAUGUUACCUUUUAGUCGAUGAUGGACUUUAAACUGAAAACUUCAAACUAUGGAACAGUGUUCUAUUUGCCAGAGUUAAAUAUGUUACAGCAGGGGUCUCCAAACUUGUUUAUACUUGUUGAUUUUAUUUUAUGUUACUUGAUUAUAUGUUUAUUAUUGUUUAAAAUCUUGUUUUAAAUAUGUUUGUUUCAAUUAAAUGUUUUUUUAAAUAAAAUUUUGAUACAUA